rnacentral:rRNA from 1 species
UACGUAGGGCGCAAGCGUUGUCCGGAAUUAUUGGGCGUAAAGAGCUCGUAGGCGGUCUGUCGCGUCGGCUGUGAAAACCCGGGGCUCAACCCCGGGCCUGCAGUCGAUACGGGCAGACUAGAGUGCGGUAGGGGAGACUGGAAUUCCUGGUGUAGCGGUGAAAUGCGCAGAUAUCAGGAGGAACACCGGUGGCGAAGGCGGCCCACUGGGCCGGUACUGACGCUGAGGCGCGAAGGCGUGGGGAGCGAACGGG